rnacentral:rRNA from 1 species
CAGUCGCCGCGGUAAAACGGAGGGAGCUAGCGUUAUUCGGAAUUACUGGGCGUAAAGCGCACGUAGGCGGCUUUGUAAGUUAGAGGUGAAAGCCUGGUGCUCAACACCAGAACUGCCUGUGAUACUGCAUCGCUUGAAUCCAGGAGAGGUGAGUGGAAUUCCGAGUGUAGAGGUGAAAUUCGUAGAUAUUGGGAAGAACACCGGUGGCGAAGGCGGCGACCUGGUCCUUGACUGACGCUGAGGCGCGAAAGCGUGGGGAGCAAACAGGAUUAGAUACCCCUGUAGUCCCUGUCUCUUAUAC